rnacentral:rRNA from 1 species
GAGGAAUGUAUAGCAAUAGCUAGUUGCAUCAUAGUAGAUAUGAUGCAAGAUCGACUAUGUUGAAUAAAAUUCUAGGUAGAAUUAUGAUAAUGACAUUGUCUGCCUAUGUGUCUUGACCAAAUUACGUGCCAGCAGUCGCGGUAAUACGUAGAAGACUAGUGUUAUUCAUGUUUAAUCGGUUUAAAGGGUACCUAGACGGUAGAUCAAGCUUUCUAAUAAUGGAAAAGGACUAGUUUACUAGAGUUACUUAUGAGGGGGUAUUAAAGUACUGCUGGUGUAGAGAUGAAAUUCUGUCAUACCUCUUUUCAAAAGAAAAACCAUGGCACAGGUAUAGGCGAAGGCAUCCCCUUAUGUGAUAACUGACGUUGAGGGACGAAGGCUUUGUGUAGCGAACAGGAUUAGAUACCCCAGUAGUCGAAGCAGAAAAUGAUGAAUGUCAUAGAUUAGAUAUAUAAGUUUAUUCUAUAAAUGAAAGUGUAAGCAUUCCACCUCAUGAGUAAUUUGGCAACAUUGGAACUGAAAUCAUUAGACCGUUUCUGAAACCAGUAGUGAAGUAUGUUGUUUAAUUUGAUGUCCCGCAAAAACCUUACCACAAUUUGAAUAUUUAUAUUGUUUAUUGUUUUAUUAUUAAUUUUCUUUAAGAAAAUUAAGAAUAAGCAAUAAGAUAUAUUUACAGCGUUGCACGGCUGUCUUCAGUUAAUGUCGCGAGACUUUGGUUAGUUCCAUUAAAUUAACGUAAACCCUUACUUUAUUUUUAUAUAGAGUAGUUCCCCGCU